AGCUCCAAUAGCGUAUACUAACAUUGUUGCAGUUAAAAGGCUCGUAGUCGAACCUAUGACCCUGUGAACCUGGCCCACUCUCUAGUAGAGUGAGUGUCGGUGUGCACGGGUCAUCUUUCUGAAGAGCACUUCUGCCCUUGAUUGGGUUGGUUGUGUGAUUCAGAUCGUUUACUGUGAGUAAAUCAGAGUGUUCAAAGCAGGCUUUGAUUGCUCGAAUGGUUCAGCAUGGAAUAAUAAGAUAAGACUUCGGUUUUGUUUUGUUGGCUAUACGAACCAAAGUAAUGAUUAAUAGGGAUGAUUGGGGGUGCUAGUAUUCAGUGGUCAGCGGUGAAAUGCGUAGACCCAUUGAAGACUAACUAUUGCGAAAGCAUUCACCAAGGACAUCUUCUUUGAUCAAGAA
rnacentral:rRNA from 1 species